CCCACGGCUUACGCCAUGGGCUACUCUCUAUCGGCCCUCCGGGCCU
rnacentral:sRNA from 1 species